rnacentral:rRNA from 1 species
GUCUGUGGCCAUAGUGCCCUGAACACACCCAAUCUCAUCUGAUCUCGGAAGCUAAGCAGGGUCGAGCCUGGCUAGUACUUGGAUGGGAGAAAUGUAUUAUCUUCAGACG